rnacentral:rRNA from 1 species
CCUCAAAUCAGGUAGGACUACCCGCUGAACUUAAGCAUAUCAAUAAGCGGAGGAAAAGAAACUAACAAGGAUUCCCCUAGUAACUGCGAGUGAAGCGGGAAAAGCUCAAAUUUAAAAUCUGGGUAGUCCUUGGCUGCCCGAGUUGUAAUCUAGAGAAGUGUUAUCCGCACUGGACCAUGUAUAAGUCUUCUGGAAUGGAGCGUCAUAGAGGGUGAGAAUCCCGUCUUUGACAUGGACUACCAGGGCUUUGUGAUGCGCUCUCAACGAGUCGAGUUGUUUGGGAAUGCAGCUCUAAAUGGGUGGUAAAUUCCAUCUAAAGCUAAAUAUUGGCGAGAGACCGAUAGCGAACAAGUACCGUGAGGGAAAGAUGAAAAGAACUUUGGAAAGAGAGUUAAACAGUACGUGAAAUUGUUGAAAGGGAAACGCUUGAAGUCAGUCGCGUUGAUCAGGGGUCAACCUUGCUCUCUUGCUUGGUGCACUUCCCGGUUAACGGGUCAGCAUCAAUUUUGACCAGCGGAAAAAGGUUAAGAGAAUGUGACAUCUUCGGAUGUGUUAUGCUCUCGAUUGUAUACAUUGGUUGGGCAUUGGAGAAUUCGACAGCCGCC